rnacentral:rRNA from 1 species
AGUUCGGAUUGAAGGCUGAAAUUCGCCUUCAUGAAGCUGGAAUUGCUAGUAAUGGCAGGUCAGCAUACUGCCGUGAAUACGUUCCCGGGCCUUGUACACACCGCCCGUCACACCAUGAGAGUUGGGAAUACCCGAAGCCUGUGAGCUAACUUAUAGAGGCAGCAGUCGAAGGUAGAAUCAGUGAUUGGGGUGAAGUCGUAACAAGGUAUC